GGUGGUUCCCGGGUGAUGCACCCGGAAUCAGGCUCCCUUCUCUCUGGUUCUGGGGUGCAUCACCCAAGAAUCGCA
rfam:Myotis lucifugus cont2.18156, whole genome shotgun sequence.